rnacentral:rRNA from 1 species
AUUGAACGCUGGCGGCAGGCCUAACACAUGCAAGUCGAGCGGAUGAGUGGAGCUUGCUCCAUGAUUCAGCGGCGGACGGGUGAGUAAUGCCUAGGAAUCUGCCUGGUAGUGGGGGACAACGUUUCGAAAGGAACGCUAAUACCGCAUACGUCCUACGGGAGAAAGCAGGGGACCUUCGGGCCUUGCGCUAUCAGAUGAGCCUAGGUCGGAUUAGCUAGUAGGUGAGGUAAUGGCUCACCUAGGCGACGAUCCGUAACUGGUCUGAGAGGAUGAUCAGUCACACUGGAACUGAGACACGGUCCAGACUCCUACGGGAGCAGCAGUGGGGAAUAUUGGACAAUGGGCGAAAGCCUGAUCCAGCCAUGCCGCGUGUGUUGAAGAAGGUCUUCGGAUUGUAAAGCACUUUAAGUUGGGAGGGAAGGGCAGUAAAGUUAAUACCUUGCUGUUUGACGUUACAACAGAAUAAGCACCGGCUAACUUCGUAG